CUCAGAUUGAACGCUGGCGGCAUGCCUUACACAUGCAAGUCGAACGGCAGCACGGGCUUCGGCCUGGUGGCGAGUGGUGAACGGGUGAGUAAUACAUCGGAACAUGUCCUGUAGUGGGGGAUAGCCCGGCGAAAGCCGGAUUAAUACCGCAUACGAUCUGAGGAUGAAAGCGGGGGACCUUCGGGCCUCGCGCUAUAGGGUUGGCCGAUGGCUGAUUAGCUAGUUGGUGGGGUAAAGGCCUACCAAGGCGACGAUCAGUAGCUGGUCUGAGAGGACGACCAGCCACACUGGGACUGAGACACGGCCCAGACUCCUACGGGAGGCAGCAGUGGGGAAUUUUGGACAAUGGGCGCAAGCCUGAUCCAGCAAUGCCGCGUGUGUGAAGAAGGCCUUCGGGUUGUA
rnacentral:rRNA from 1 species